rnacentral:rRNA from 1 species
AAGUCGUAACAAGGUUUCCGUAGGUGGCAUGUUUGCCUGCUGGAAGCCCCGCAGCGACUCUAAAGAAGUGCCCUCAGUCGCGCCGAAUCCGGGCGCUGGCGACGCCAUCAUUCUGCGCCGGGAGUCCCCUUUUGCACGGGGACAACCAGCAGCUCCAGGCACCUCUGGAGUCUACAGAUCAAACGAUCGCGGCCACUCCGGUGGUUAAGAUAUGAUCGGCCUUGACCGUUAUCGGUCCAAAGUUUCGCGGAACCUGCGGAAGGAUCAUUAUCGAGAGGGGCCUCGUGCUCCCGGGGGUUUCGGCCCCUAACUCUUCACCCAUUGUUUAUCUACCUUUGUUGCUUUGGCGGGCCACGGGGUCUUCCCGCGCUGGCUCUUGGGCCGGCGAGCGCCCGUCAGAGGCCCAUCAAAUUCUGUUUAUUAGUGUUGUCCGAGUCAAAACGCAAAUAAGUAAAAACUUUCAACAACGGAUCUCUUGGUUCCAGCAUCGAUGAAGAACGCAGCGAAAUGCGAUAAGUAAUGUGAAUUGCAGAAUUCAGUGAAUCAUCGAAUCUUUGAACGCACAUUGCGCCCCUCGGUAUUCCGGGGGGCAUGCCUGUUCGAGCGUCAUUACACCCCUCAAGCGUAGCUUGGUAUUGGGCGUCGCCCCCGCGGCGUGCCCGAAAAUUAGUGGCGGUCCGGUGUGACUUUGAGCGAAGUAAAUACAAAUCCCGCUUUGAAAGUUCACGCUGCGGCCUGCCAGACAACCCCAUGAUUUUUCAAUAAUUGACCUCGGA